AUGCAAGUGACCACAAUGAUUCCAGUGCAUUGACCAUCACCAAGAAAAGAAAGAGCCUUCACUGGAAAAAGAAAGAAAGAAAAAAAACAGGGUGCCCUGGACCAAAGCUGACACUGAAAUCCUUAAGCGCAUAUUUCAUCCAUGUAUUAC